GUUCAUCAAAAACACACUAGCUUCGGCCUUAUCACUUUUUGUAAAGUGUUUUUUAAUUUUAUCAAGAAAUUCCUUGAUAGUGGUUACCUUAUCAGACACAGUACCCCCGAAUGAUUCUGAAACACAACAUUUCACAAUCAUAAGACUCAUGCAGUUUGAACGAGCCCACUUAUCAAAGUCUCCCCUUUUUAUUAGCGAAAUUUUUAUCUAUAAAUGCAGCGGGUUGUUCAGUCCUUAACGCAAGGUUUAAGUCCAUGCUACCAGGAACAAUCUAAACAUUCUCCUUUUAGUCUUUAAAGUUGGUUCCAUUCAGCACAGGAAUGAGUUGAUGUUGGCAAAUAUUGUAGAAGAUGAAGAGUUAACUGAAUAGAGAAUAAAAUCAAAGAAAUGUGUCCACGUUAAAAUCCGUAUUAAGCAAUUAAUAAAUUCAAAUAAUGGUGAACUCCCCACCACAAGAUACCUAGCACAAUAUUGACAUUAAGUCUUUGGCCAGAAAUACCAACUUCUAAGUGGUGCUCUUGGCGUAAUAACCAAAUAUUGAUAAUAAACUAUGUCAAAUAAUAAACCUAUCUUUGGACCGAUCUAUUGUUUACAUUAAGGAAACCGUACAAUUGUCGGACAUUUAUUAUCACAUGUGUAUAUAAUUUGGUCAAACAUUUAGGCCCUAUUCUCUUUAUUAUUUUCGGGCCGUUUUCUGUUUUUAAUUUUUCAAAACGGUGAAAACGCCUUCUCUUUUUCAUUUUCGAAAAAGAAUUUUUGAAAACAAAAAAAAAUGUGAAGGAAACUCAAAACGUCAAAACAGACGUUUUGAGUGUUUUGAGGCAAAAAAACGCUGCAAAUCCAAAACAUGGGAAACGACCUUUCUUCCAUUACCCCCAACCUAAAUACGGAGACAAAAUGAAAUCUUGGCCCCUUUCUCCUCUUUCUUCUUCCUCUUCCUCUUCUUCAAUCUUUGGAUAGGAGGCAGAGCCCCUUCACCUGCGCGUCUCCAAAUUCCCAACCCAGCACUAUAUUUAUUUUUAUUUUCCCUGUUCCGUUAAUUGCACCCGUUAAGCGAUCAGAAUUCUUAAGAACUAUUUUUCUUAAAUGGCAUCCAAAUUCGGGUUAGCGGGUGGCAUUCCGGGACGGCGGGUCCGACCCAUUUGGGAUGCCAUCGAUUCUCACUAGUUCAAGAACGCCCUCAAGCACUCCGCGAGUCUUCUCUCCAAAUACCCAAAUAAUCCCCGUGCUCUUGUAAGUUUGUCAGCCCAUCCCCGCUUAUUUUCUUUUUAGUUUCAUUUUCUUCAUUAUUUAUUUGUGAUAGGUAAACGUGAAUGUUGGUGAUCAGUAUUCAAAUUAUGAUUGCACAUAUUCCAUUCUUUGGAUAGUAUUGAUGUUAAAUAUUGGAAAUUUUACUCACGUCUUGGGCGUAUAGAUGGCAAAUGUUGUUGUGGUUUUAUUAGAUCACAUGUCAAUGAUAAGCCUGAUUUUAUCGUGCUAUAUUUAUCAUUAAAUGAUACAUAUGUAACUUCUGAAUCGACAUCCAGUUUGUCAUUUGCCAGGGUCCUAAUUGGUAAGUCUAAUCACGUGGUGGCGUUAUACAGGGAAAAUGGAAGUAUUGGAAUAUAUGAUGCAUUGCGUUGAUUUCUGAUUUAUAUAUACAAGUUAGUACUUGGAUACCAGAUUAGUCGCAAGUCAGUGAUUGAGUCAAUAAUAAGCUCAUCAUUGAUAUUCAUGGACCAAAGCCGAACAACUUUAGAUAAUAAGUUCCUAACAGAUCCCGGAAUUACUCCUAAUGAAAGCACAAACCUUGUAAUGCUCCUCUAGGCUGGUUUUGUUUUCCGUCUAUUUUCUAUAUGCCCAAAUGAAGCUAGGCUUUUCUUCUUUAUAUGUUGUACUUGGCUCCUCCAGGCCCUCCCCUCUUCGUUGCAUGUGAUUUGUUGAAUGAGAUGAAGAAGAUGGAUUGGGUUCCUUCUGAGGGUACAAUUACAAAUGUGAUUAUUACAUGUGUGAAGCAGAGGAAUAACUGAGGCGUUAAAGCUUAAGGAUGAGAUGAUAAGUAGGGGAUAUACGAUCAAUUUGGUUGUUGCUACAAGCUUGAUGAAAGGGUACUGUCAGCUAGGAGAUUUAAACAGUGCUUUAGAAUUGUUCGAUAAGCUUGAUUCUUGGAAACUGUAGGAAAGGGAACAUGGAUAUAGCAUUAGACUUACUAUGCAAGAUGCUACAAAAGAACUUGAAGGCUAAUCUCGUCACAUAUGGUAUAUUGAUAGAAGGAUAUUUCAAGAUAGAUGGAUAACACAUAUAUGUGAUUUGGAAUGCCGUGCUGUGAUUUGGCAUAACUUGUUUAAAAUUCUGCUUCUUUUUAAAGUUUAUUUUUAAUGUUAGCCAAGUGAUAAUUCAAAUUGUGAAAUUAACGUGUGUCCACAGCAAUCAACUCAUGGCAGCCUUGCAUGUUAGGAUGAUGUAAUUCACAUCACUAAAUGAUCAGGAAUGUCUUUUAUUUCAAUUGGUAAAGUCGGUGUAAUAUAGUGCUAAUAAUUCAUUAGAGGGCUAAGGUCCCUUGGUAUGAGGAUUGCCAACUUGAAUCAUGUUGCAUGACUUAGCUUAUAGUAAACUAAUUACUCUAUUUUUUGGAAUGUUUAAUGGCAUGAUGAUGCUAUGUGUCCACAUAAGUGACCUUUGUUUGCAAGUGAUGAAUGAGAUGUGAUUUUUCAUUGAAUGGUGUCUUGUAUGUGAUAAAUGGAACGUCUUUUAUUAUUAUUAUUAUUAUUAUUAUUAUUAUUAUUAUUAUUAUUAUUAUUAUUAUUAUUUAUUUAUUUAUUUAUUUAUUUUGUGCUUUGGAAAUGUGUCUUAUUUUCUACUGCAUCAAUUUCAUAUCUAGCAGGCUCAUCAUAAUAGCAAAACAAUGUCUAGAAGGCCCACUUCCACUCGUCACCUUACAGACAGUGGGAGCAAUCCAUUUGUGGGUUCAUUGCAUCCCAAAUCAUGCCCAUCUCCUCUAUUAUCUAUAGGGCAUCUUUCUGUGGUAAGAGGUGGUGUCGUUAUCUUGACUGGUAGGAGGUGGUGUCGUUGGCAGGGUUGCCAAUCACAAACCUAUGUUGGACACAUUAUCAGUGCUGGAAAAUAAUGAUCUAGGAUUCCUCUUAUCUUCUAGUAUCUACGUUAGCACACAUGAUUAGAUACUGGAACACUUGUAUCUUUAAUGUGAGUUUACCGAAUUGUUUAUUAUGAUUUGAUCUCAAAUUAAUUAAUUUCGAUCAGGGAAGGGCAGCAUAGAUUUCUCUUGAUGCCGGCCUUGUAUGUGAAUUUCACGACCAGUUGAGCACGGAAAAAUGAGUAAAUUUAAUGUGCUAAUAUAAAUUGAAGACAUCUCUGCAUCCAAUUGAGUGAUUGAUGAGCACUUAGAGAAUGCAGUCAUGUCAUAUUCAUUUAGACUUGGUAGGUUUAAGUCGUUUUAUGUUGUAUUUAUACUUCCACAAGCUUACAAUUUUCCCUUUCAAGAUGUUUGAUAUUAGUAAUCUUACGCUCAAAUUCUCAUUUAUGAUGUCUAUAUUGUGAAUUGGUUUUCCUAUUAGAUCAUCUUUUCAAUAAUUAUUCUGCAAUUACCAAGUAGAGUCUCAUUCGCC
rnacentral:lncRNA from 1 species